rnacentral:tRNA from 1 species
GCGGGUAUGUCGGAAUGGCAGACGAGCCGGUCUUAGAAACCGGUGCAUAUGCGUGCAGGUUCAAGUCCUGUUACCCGCA